AUUUAAAACAACGAAGCAUACGGAUUUUAGGCCCAGUGGAAUAACGUGGCGUGGAAGCAACGCGGAUAGACUUUAAAGUAAAGGAGUAGCCGUUGCCGUUGGAUGUUUUGGAAAAUGUGAAAAGUCGUGUGGACCUGAUUUUUUUUUUCUUUUCUUUCUACUUUUGUCAGUCAUUAAAAAUAUAUUAAUAAAUAAAUGCAAAAAAAGUUAAUGCGACGCGUCUUUAUCAUGUGGAAGAAUCUUUUUUCAAAUCGAGGAGCGUCACGUGAUAACGCGUCCUUUGCUUUUUAUUUUUUAUUUGAAAUUCAAAAAAAGAAUAAUAAAGAUAUAUUUAUAUAAUUGUGGAUGUGAAAGAAGAACUACUACUACACAGAGAGAUUUUUUUAUGAGGCUGAGAAAAUUAUUGGCGUGAGAGACUUGGUAGAAAUCUGGGUUUGUUUGGACACAGAUUUAGGACUAUUCUUCUUCCGAGUCCGCCCAUGCCAAUAAUUUCCUCCGUCUUUUUCUUUCCUUUUUUUCACCAAAAUUUAGACUCAAUUAAUUUCUCUUUUCCCUUCCUCCACCAUCUGGUGUAUUUCUUUUCUCACUAAAAGGAUGGAAGAGGGAAAGGCUUAAGAGUGUGGGUGGAAGUGAUAGGUAUGGGGGGUUAGGACAGAGAGAAAUACUCUCUUCUCCCCAAUUUAUUUUUUUUAAUUGGGGGGAAGGGAAUGAAUUCUUUCCUACCCCUCCCAUACCAUUCAUUUCCAUCCUUUCCUUCCUUUCCCUUCCCUUCUCUCGCUAUUGUGUUUUUUUGUUUUGGGUGUGUUUUUUUCUCCCAAUCUGAGAUCGGACAAGAAGGAAAGGAAGUGAAAGAAAGACCAUAUCCAAUUCCUAGGUGCUCCAGAAGAGAAACAUGGCUUUUCGUUUCUUAAAUCCUGGUUCAACCUUGAUAAUGAUGAUUUGUAUCAUCUGUGCCAUGCAAUUGCUUCUAGUUCUCGUUAAUGGAGAAGAAAAUGUGAGAAAGUUUGGAUUAUUUGGAAGGCCACACCCAUCUCCUCCUCCUCCUCCAACUGGGGGACUGAUGCAUGGAAUGUUGCCGCCUGAAGCUUUCAACGCAAGUUCAUCAUCACCACCUCCACCAUACUAGUCCCUAAAGAACAUAUAUUUUAUGAUUCUCGAUGAUCAUUUUGUUGGUGGUCACUGUCUGAUGCAUUGAGAUUCAAUGGAAUAAUAAUAAAAGUUGUUAUAUUUUAUUAGAAUAUCAGAUUAUUUUUCUGUUGUGAACCAAAGUAAUUAAUGUUAUAUAUGCACAAUAAAAUAAAUAUGUAAACUAGCUGUGUAUGUGUGCAAAUAAGAAUACUAUUCUAUAAAUUUCUGAAGGUCUUCCUUUUAUUUUA